rnacentral:rRNA from 1 species
CCUACGGGUGGCAGCAGUGAGGAAUAUUGGUCAAUGGACGAGAGUCUGAACCAGCCAAGUAGCGUGAAGGAUGACUGCCCUAUGGGUUGUAAACUUCUUUUAUAUGGGAAUAAAACGUUCCACGUGUGGGAUUUUGUAUGUACCAUAUGAAUAAGGAUCGGCUAACUCCGUUCCAGCAGCCGCGGUAAUACGGAGGAUCCGAGCGUUAUCCGGAUUUAUUGGGUUUAAAGGGAGCGUAGGUGGAUUGUUAAGUCAGUUGUGAAAGUUUGCGGCUCAACCGUAAAAGUGCAGUUGAAACUGGCAGUCUUGAGUACAGUAGAGGUGGGCGGAAUUCGUGGUGUAGCGGUGAAAUGCUUAGAUAUCACGAAGAACUCCGAUUGCGAAGGCAGUUCACUGGACUGCAACUGACACUGAGGCUCGAAAGUGUGGGUAUCAAACAGGAUUAGAUACCCUAGUAGUC